AUCUUUAUACCAAGCGGCCAAUAUCGUAAUAGGCUCGACAUGGUGAAAGAGUUAAUUGAACGGCCAUCUUCGUGAUAGACUCAACAUGAUCAAAUCCGCAUAUUUGAACAAUAAAAAAAUAAGAAUGAUGAAUAUAUUUUGAUUUGUCAUCUUUGUAAUUGGCAUUAUUCGAAUUAUUCGCUGUCUUCGUGAUAGGUACGAUUCGAUUUGAUCAACUCGUCAUCUUCGUGAUAGACAAUAUUCGAACCACAUGCCAUCUUCGUGAUAGGCACAGUUCAAUUCAACUAUAUCGCCAUUUUCGUGAUAGACACAUAUUUGAUCAAAUCGCCAUCUUCGUGAUAAACUCGACAGGAUCAAAUCCGCAUACUUGGACAAAAAUAAAUAAACAAAUAAAUAAUAAAUAAAUAAAAGAAAAAAAUAAAAGGAAGAAAGAAUAAAAAGAGAAAGGAGAAAAAGAAGAAGAAAGGAAAAAAAAGAAAGAAAGAAAGAAAGAAAGAACAGAAAAAAAACAGAGAUUAAAAAAAAUGGAAUGGUUUGGAAUUGAAAGAGCCCAAUGUACAAUUUGUUUUAUGGGCUCACUGAAUAAAAAUUUCAUAUGCAGUCCACUAAUGAACCAAACCUGGAUCCAGCCAAUAUAAUACUGCAGGCCUAGUUUACUUACGGGCCCUGAAUCCAGCCCCGUCUACAUACAAAAUAAAAUUCAUGAAACUCAAAGUUCACGGAUAAAACCGAAACCUAAAUAAAAUCCAUGCAACCCAAAUCCACAAAUAAAAUCAAUAUCCAAAUAAAACCCAUGAAACUCAAUGUCCACAAAUAAAAUCAAAACGCAAAUAAAACUCAUAAAACCCAAAGUCCACAAAUAAAAUCAAAAUCCAAAUAAAACCCAAAAUUCAAAGCCCACAAAUAAAAUUCAGAACCAACAUGCAAUGAUGCAAAUAAAGCCAAGACCCAAAGUCCACAAAUAAAGUCCAUAAAAUUCAGAAUUCACAAAUAGAACCCAACCUAAUCUAUUUCAUAAAUAAAACCACCAAAGCCUAUAAAGCACAAAACUACCGAACCUUCAGUUGGAAGAUGAAGAAGAACCAGAUUGGGGCAAUAAGUCCUUUGAUAAAGAUGCAACAAUUGCGCCUAGGCCUCUGAAAUCCUAGAAAAUAAUCAAAUGAACCCCCUCAGCCCAAACAACUUACGUGUUAGAUGUGACUCGAAAUUGAUAAUCGACUCGAGUUCGGGUUUUCGACUCGCCAACAGUUUCGCGGUGCGACCAAAUUGGAAAAUAAAAUUGUGAAUGAAAAAUAAAUGUCUGUGGUGGAUAGCGGAGGGCUCGGGCAUUGAUAGCAGUUCAAGAAGCAUUAAAAAGAAAGGGUCCUCAAGCAAAACUCUCAUGGAGAUUUGAGGGGCCUAAUACUACACUGCAAUAUAAGCCCCAUUUAUACAUGCAAGUCAAGGGGCAACUAUAGAUAGAUGAUACAUAGAUGAGUCUAUAGGUCAAAACAUAUUGAAUGCACUUGUUUCUCUAUAUUCUUCUACAUCAUUAUUUAAAAUAGAAUUAUCUAUAUAUUCUGACAGAAAUUGGCAUACACAAGCAUGGAGACCACUCAACUCUGUUACUAGCCAUGAAAUGAGCUCUGAAAUUAUUGGCAUAUAACUUAGUUGCUCCACACAACAGCAAACUUAGCUUUAAGUAACUGAACAAACAAAUUUUACAUCCCUCGUAUUAUCGAUCCAAAUUUGAAUAGUCUUCCUGCUCGGAAAUGCAUGGUUGAUAAUUCUGUUGAACUGGAUUGCAUAGAAGACUGCCUUGCGGAGAUCUGCUGCGAGGAUGAAAAAAAGGGCCUUGGCGGCAUUUGCAAGUUAUCCUCAUCCCCUUCCAACAUCUCUACAACUUUGUCCAUAGAAGGGCGAUUUGACGAUUUCAUCUGAAUGCACCAUAACCCCACUUUACAUAGCUUGCUUUCUACUCCAUGAAUCUCAAUAUUGUUAUUUAUUUCAAUGAUCUCAUUGUUCUGUGUAAGUCGGUCGUAGAUCCAAGAAGGAUAGUAAACUUGGCUUGUAUUUUCUAUCGAUCGGUCCACAUUCCUUCUGCCUCCUGCCAUCUCUAGUAAUAGCAUUCCAAAACUAUAGACGUCAGAUUUGUCAAAUACAAUCCCAAAGUUCCUCGAUACCAAUUCCGGAGCAAUAUAUCCAAUGGUUCCUCUUGCUGCACUAACAGAAACAUGACUAUAAUCCUUUGGGUACAACUUUGCAAGUCCGAAAUCUGAAACCUUUGGAUUGAAAUGCUGGUCUAGGAGAAUAUUGUGUGGUUUGAUGUCGAAAUGAAGAAUCUGUUGGGAAGCGGAUGGACCGUCCGUCAUGUGCUAUCAACAAAGAUGCACGAAAAAUAGAGAAAAUACCAAACGAACGGUAAAAGAAAUAAAUGCAGAAAGAAGAAACCAAGAUUUACGUGGUUCGGCAAUUGCCUACGUCCACGGGGAGAGCGAGAGAGAUGUAUUCCACAAUAUGAAGAAAUAAAAGUACAAGCUUACACUUUAUGUCUUCUCCGGAUAAAAAACCAAGAAUCUUAUGGUGAAUCCCACCUUUCUUGUUCCAACGAAAACUCCAAGAAAAUACCGAAAAAAAUCUUUUCGUAAAAUCGAGAAGACCAAAUUAGAGAAGUGUAGAAACUCUAACCAAAUUCCUUUAUGCCGUUGCUUCGAAGAAUCCGAACCGCUCAAGCAAUUGGUCGAGAACCGUCGCUCCGCCGCCAACGUCAAUCCGUCGCAUGCGUGCUACCACGCAUCUCCUUCUCUUGCUACCGUAUGGACGGGCACCUUAAUUAAUUAGCUAGGCACCGAAUGCUAAUUAAUUUGGCCUCCACACCAUGCACCCACGAAGCCGUACAUCCCUCUAUUAGAGCCGGCCACCUUCACGACUCCCAAGCCGUACAUGCAUAUGCAUGUAUAUAUAGAGAGGGAUUUGGCUCAAUCCUACUCUAAUUCAAUAUGAUUAUUGAAUAUAGAGUAUUAUAUGGAAAACCAAUCCUAGUCUAUCUAGGAUUCCAAUUUAAAUUAGGAUUCACCAAAAAUAAAUUCUUAUAAGAUCCUUUUUAUUUUUUCAUAAACCCUGGGCCACACCUUAACCAUAUAUGGAGAUGGUUAAAUCAAUUUGUAAGAAUACUUGUAUAUAAAAAGUGGAUUUCGAAGGAUGCAUACAUUUAAAUUAAGUUUGCAUACAUGGUUAUAAUUGUCGAGCCCGGCUCAAGUAAAGCGUGCAAUAUCAUGAAAAAUUUGAAGGCUCAAUUCUAACUGUUCAUCACUAUUUGGUUAAAUUUAGGAGAAUCUACCAUAAAUGCAUUAAUUUUGGACUUAAUUAUUUAUAUUGUUUCAGAAAUAUCCACUACAACAAAAACGGUCUAUAGCGACACUUUUAAAUAUCGGUACAGAUCAAAAAAAAUGCUGCUGGCUAAAUUGCCGACACUUUUAAAAGUGUUGCUGUAUGUAGGGUCGCUAGAUAUAUAGUGACAGUUAAAUAGUAUCGUUAUAACCUAAAAAGAGUGAUGCUAAUUUAUCAAUAUUUAUUUAAGCAUUUAGCAACCGCCGGAACUCUACCUCGUUGGCUGCGGUGGCAGAGAAGGACGAGAGGAUGGGAUCUUCGUCUAAAAUUUCAGCCGAUAGAGUGAGGGGAGAAGAGGAAAUGGUAAUCGAUUUUUUUUUCUUUUUUUUUUUCUGUUUGUAAUCGGACCGAAUGGAUUAGGUAGGGUGGGUUGAGUAGAUAACCUUUUAUUUUUGGUUGGAUUGGACUUUAUAUUUAGGCAUUAAUAGAUUUUUUUUAAAAUUUUGGUAUAAAUGGAACACUUACACAAAAGUGUCCCAAAUAUGUGUCUCUAUAAUCUAAUUCUAUUGUAGUGAUCUCCUGAGUCACAAAUUAGAGAUUCCAGUACAUAUUGUAAUUGCAUUCUUAAUUGCUCAUUCUUGUUACGGGUGGAACCUGCUGAAACUACUUUCUCCACACAUAUGUAUCGCUAAUCUUUAUACCAAGCGGCCAAUAUCGUAAUAGGCUCGACAUGGUGAAAGAGUUAAUUGAACGGCCAUCUUCGUGAUAGACUCAACAUGAUCAAAUCCGCAUAUUUGAACAAUAAAAAAAUAAGAAUGAUGAAUAUAUUUUGAUUUGUCAUCUUUGUAAUUGGCAUUAUUCGAAUUAUUCGCUGUCUUCGUGAUAGGUACGAUUCGAUUUGAUCAACUCGUCAUCUUCGUGAUAGACAAUAUUCGAACCACAUGCCAUCUUCGUGAUAGGCACAGUUCAAUUCAACUAUAUCGCCAUUUUCGUGAUAGACACAUAUUUGAUCAAAUCGCCAUCUUCGUGAUAAACUCGACAGGAUCAAAUCCGCAUACUUGGACAAAAAUAAAUAAACAAAUAAAUAAUAAAUAAAUAAAAGAAAAAAAUAAAAGGAAGAAAGAAUAAAAAGAGAAAGGAGAAAAAGAAGAAGAAAGGAAAAAAAAGAAAGAAAGAAAGAAAGAAAGAACAGAAAAAAAACAGAGAUUAAAAAAAAUGGAAUGGUUUGGAAUUGAAAG
rnacentral:lncRNA from 1 species